UCAUUUGCAGUGGCCAGUGGAGAUCUCGGAUUUGUCUGCCCCUUGCAACUGGGUCACAUCUAUUGGAAAGUAGACAGAGAAAGCCUGGAUGGGACCUUCAAUCCAGAGGACUUGCUUUCAGAUCCAGCUUUGCAGAUUCUAGAGCCAUUGUCAACCAACAAGGGCAGCCAUAUCAUUAUUCCUGACCAGCUUUGAAGUGAGUUACAUUCACUCCCAUUACAAGCCAGGCAAACCAAGAACAUCAAUCAUCUUCAAGACCAGGUCUAUAGGACAAACUUCACCAAAUCUAUCUGUGGACAGAAAGCAAGCAACACUGCCAGCUGCUUUAAAAUAACAAGAAAAAUAGAACUUGUAAAUUGAGGAAAACCCCAAAUCUCAUCUGUCAUUAAAUUAUCCUCUUCCCGUGUACCCAGCUACGAAAUGUUUUGUUACCCAUCUCCUAAGUAAUUGUGAUUGGUUGUGAAAUCUGACCAAAAGUAACAAUGAUUCUCCUAAUUGGUCAUCCUUUAGGUCAAGAGGGACUAACCUCCAAAUCACUCUAUCCCUUUCAUUUAUCUCCAUCUCUGUUGUAGCAAUGUUUCUUGACUAUCUCCUUGGGCUUUGUGUCUGUUGUUAGGUUUUGUGCAAACAUGUAUGUUGAGAAAUGAUUGUGUGCCAAGAGUAUGUACUCACUGAACCUAUAAAAUAAACCAAUCCCUGUGCUAUGGCA
rnacentral:lncRNA from 1 species